UUAACUACAUUAAAGGGUCUUUCCCCUAGCCUUCCAAGCUAAUGAUGCGGGUUCGAUUCCCGCUACCCGCUUAU
rnacentral:tRNA from 1 species